rnacentral:rRNA from 1 species
CCUACGGGGGGCAGCAGUGGGGAAUAUUGGACAAUGGGGGGAACCCUGAUCCAGCGACGCCGCGUGAGUGAAGAAGUAUUUCGGUAUGUAAAGCUCUAUCAGCAGGGAAGAAAGAAAUGACGGUACCUGACUAAGAAGCCCCGGCUAACUACGUGCCAGCAGCCGCGGUAAUACGUAGGGGGCAAGCGUUAUCCGGAUUUACUGGGGGUAAAGGGAGCGUAGACGGGGAUGCAAGUCUGAAGUGAAAGGCGGGGGCCCAACCCCCGGACUGCUUUGGAAACUGUAUGGCUGGAGUGCAGGGGAGGUGAGUGGAAUUCCUAGUGUAGCGGUGAAAUGCGUAGAUAUUAGGAGGAACACCAGUGGCGAAGGCGGGUUACUGGACUGUAACUGACGUUGAGGCUCGAAAGCGUGGGGAGCAAACAGGAUUAGAUACCCGAGUAGUC